GGUUAAAUGAGUAACAGGGGUCCUCUGCAGCUCAGUUGGUAGAGCCUGGCACUUGUAACGGCAGGAUAGUGGGUUCAAAUCCCAAAACGUUCUGCUAAGCGGAAUAUAUUAUAGUUAAGCCAGUCUCGUUGAUGGCUAUCAACUCUCUGCACUUCAGCCUCCAUUAAGGGCAACUCUCAACCUUCAGCGAGAACACUCCUGUACUUAGGUUGUUUACUCUCAACUGGGGAUGGGCACAGUUAUUGAAAUAUUUGAAUAUCUGAACAAACAUUAGUAUUUGAUUACUUGUGUGAGUAUUCAUAAGUAAAAAUUACAGGCCUAUUUUAAAAAUGAAAAUAUCCAUGUUACAUUGCUGCAUACAAGGAUAUACCAUGAUAUUUCAAAUUCUUAAUUUAAUAAAACCACUUUUAAAAGUCAAAGCUUCACUAGGCCUACAGUCAAAGAGGCUCACUACAAUACAUUUUAAUAGGAAGUUAGCAAAAAUAGAGAAGCUCUUGCUGCUGUGGAAAGGAAAAUACCUGUCUAUUUGUGAAAAACUGAUUAACUCUUUAGUCAUAUCCCAGUUUAUCUAUUUGCAGAAAUAUUCAAUUUUAUUUGGAACAGCAAGCCAAACAAAAUUAAAAUGGGCCCAUUUAUAUAAUGAAUAUUAAUUUGGAGGGCAGAAAUGAUUAAAUAUUAAAGCAUUAGACCUUAAAUCCGAACUGUUUCUCUAGCAGAUUAGUAAGAAUGACUCACCCCAUGUUCAAGAAUGGCUUUUUUCUCCAUUUAUUCAGAUUACAACCUCUCACUUUCGGUUUUUAAAAAAAUGAAACAAUCUCUAAAAUAUUGCUAUUUUUAAAACAAACCAUAGAAAGCUGGUUGCAAUUUCAGUUUAAUCAGAAAAGACAAAACAAAUAUUAUGGUUAACCUCAAAUAUACUAAUUGAUUAAAACAUUUAUUUUUUUUUUUUUUUUUUCAAAAAAAAAUAUACAUCAUAUAUAUAUAUAUAUAUAUAUAAAUUUAAAAAAA
ensembl:lncRNA